CCUACGGGUGGCAGCAGUGGGGAAUAUUGCACAAUGGGGGAAACCCUGAUGCAGCGACGCCGCGUGAGUGAAGAAGUAAUUCGUUAUGUAAAGCCCUAUCAGCAGGGAAGAUAAUGACGGUAUCUGAGUAAGAAGCACCGGCUAACUACGUGCCAGCAGCCGCGGUAAUACGGAGGGGGCAAGCGUUAUCCGGAUUUACUGGGUGUAAAGGGAGCGUAGGCGGCAGUGCAAGUCUGGUGUGAAAGGCGGGGGCUCAACCCCCGGACUGCUUUGGAAACUGUACGGCUGGAGUGCGGGAGAGGUAAGUGGAAUUCCUGGUGUAGCGGUAAAAUGCGUAGAUAUUAAGAGGAACACCAGUGGCGAAGGCGACUUACUGGACUGUAACUGACGUUGAGGCUCGAAAGCGUGGGGAGCAAACAGGAUUAGAUACCCCGGUAGUC
rnacentral:rRNA from 1 species